rnacentral:rRNA from 1 species
GAGGAAUAUUGGUCAAUGGACGCAAGUCUGAACCAGCCACGUCGCGUGAAGGAAGACGGCCCUACGGGUUGUAAACUUCUUUUGUAAGGGAAUAAAGUGAUUCACGUGUGUUUCAUUGCAUGUACCUUACGAAUAAGGAUCGGCCAACUCCGUGCCAGCAGCCGCGGUAAUACGGAGGAUCCGAGCGUUAUCCGGAUUUAUUGGGUUUAAAGGGUGCGCAGGCGGAAGAUUAAGUCGGCGGUGAAAUUUUGCAGCUUAACUGUAAAAGUGCCUUCCAAACUGGUUUUCUUGAGUGUAGAUGAAGUAGGCGGAAUUUGUGGUGUAGCGGUGAAAUGCAUAGAUAUCACGAGGAACUCCGAUUGCGUAGGCAGCUUACUGAGCCGACACUGACGCUGAGGCACGAAAGCGUGGGGAUCGAACA